GACGAACGCUGGCGGCGUGCUUAACACAUGCAAGUCGAACGGAAAGGCCCUGCUUUUGUGUGGUGCUCGAGUGGCGAACGGGUGAGUAACACGUGAGUAACCUUCCCUUGACUUUGGGAUAACUUCAGGAAACUGGGGCUAAUACCUGAUAGGAGCUCCUGCUGCAUGGUGGUGUUUGGAAAGUUUCGGCGGUUGGGGAUGGACUCGCGGCUUAUCAGCUUGUUGGUGGGGUAGUGGCUUACCAAGGCUUUGACGGGUAGCCGGCCUGAGAGGGUGACCGGCCACCUUGGGACUGAGAUACGGCCCAGACUGCUACGGGAGGCAGCAGUGGGGAAUAUUGCACAAUGGGCGGAAGCCUGAUGCAGAAGCGCCGCGUGCGGAAUGACGGCCUUCGGGUUGUAAACCGCUUUCGCCUGUGACGAAGCGUGAGUGACGGUAAUGGGUAAAGAAGCACCGGCUAACUACGUG
rnacentral:rRNA from 1 species